rnacentral:tRNA from 1 species
UUAACUGAAGCCAAAAAGAGGCUAAUUAUUGUUAAUAAUAAAAUUGAGUAAAUCUCCAGUUAAU